CUGUAAUCGCGUUAGCUAUUGCAGCGGCAUCCUUUUUUAGGCGGCCGAGCCGCCUAAAAAAGAUACAGCGGAAAGAGCGACCCGAU
rnacentral:sRNA from 2 species